AUUGAACGCUGGCGGCAUGCCUUACACAUGCAAGUCGAACGGCAGCACGGGUGCUUGCACCUGGUGGCGAGUGGCGAACGGGUGAGUAAUACAUCGGAACGUACCUUAUCGUGGGGGAUAACGCAGCGAAAGCUGUGCUAAUACCGCAUACGCCCUGAGGGGGAAAGCGGGGGAUCGCAAGACCUCGCGCGAUUAGAGCGGCCGAUGCCUGAUUAGCUAGUUGGUGGGGUAAAAGCCCACCAAGGCGACGAUCAGUAGCUGGUCUGAGAGGACGAUCGACCACACUGGGACUGGGACACGGCCCAGACUCCUACGGGAGGCAGCAGUGGGGAAUUUUGGACAAUGGGGGCAACCCUGAUCCAGCAAUGCCGCGUGAGUGAAGAAGGCCUUCGGGUUGCAAAGCUCUUUUGUCAGGGAAGAAACACCGGCUCUAACACAGUCCGGGAAUGACGGUACCUGAAGAAUAAGCACCGGCUAACUACGUGCCAGCAGCCGCCGUAA
rnacentral:rRNA from 1 species